AGUGAACGCUGGCGGCAGGCUUAACACAUGCAAGUCGAACGGCAGCACAGUAAGAGCUUGCUCUUACGGGUGGCGAGUGGCGGACGGGUGAGGAAUACAUCCGAAUCUACUUUUUCGUGGGGGAUAACGUAGGGAAACUUACGCCAAUACCGCAUACGACCUACGGGUGAAAGCAGGGGACCUUCGGACCUUGCGCGAUUGAAUGAGCCGAUGUCGGAUUAGCUGGUUGGCGGGGUAAAGGCCCACCAAGGCGACGAUCCGUAGCUGGUCUGAGAGGAUGAUCAGCCACACUGGAACUGGGACACGGUCCCGACUCCUACGGGAGGCCGCAGUUGGGAAUUUUGGACAAUGGGCGCAAGCCUGACCCAGCCAUAGCGAGUGGGUGAAGGAGGCCUUCGGGUUGUAAAGCCCUUUUGUUGGGAAAAAAAAGCAUCAGGUUAAAACCCCGCUGGUCUGACGGUAACCGAAAAAUAAGCACCGGCUAACUUCGUG
rnacentral:rRNA from 1 species